rnacentral:Y_RNA from 1 species
AAUCAAUUUGUUGGUAGUGGGUUAUCAGAACUUAUUAACAUUAGUGUCACUAAAGUUGGUAUACAACCGUCCACUGCCAAAUUUGACUGGUUUUAA